GAGUUUGAUCCUGGCUCAGGAAGAAGGCUGGCGGCGUGCCUAACACAUGCAAGUCGAACGAAGCACUGAGAGAAUGAGAUUUCGGUCAAGAACACUCUUUGACUUAGUGGCGGACGGGUGAGUAAUGCGUGAGCAACCUGCCUUUCAGAGGGGGACAACAGUUGGAAACGACUGCUAAUACCGCAUGAUAUAUUCGGAUCGCAUGGUCUGGAUAUCAAAGAUUUAUCGCUGAAAGAUGGGCUCACGUCUGAUUAGUUAGUUGGUGAGGUAACGGCUCACCAAGACUGCGAUCAGUAGCCGGACUGAGAGGUUGAACGGCCACAUUGGGACUGAGAUACGGCCCAGACUCCUACGGGAGGCAGCAGUGGGGAAUAUUGGGCAAUGGGCGAAAGCCUGACCCAGCAACGCCGCGUGAAGGAAGAAGGUCUUCGGAUUGUAAACUUCUUUUAUCAGGGACGAAGGAAGUGACGGUACCUGAUGAAUAAGCCACGGCUAACUACGUGCCAGCAGCCGCGGUAAUACGUAGGUGGCAAGCUUUUAUCCGGAUUUACGGGGUGUAAGGGCGCGUAGGCGGGGAUACAAGUCAGA
rnacentral:rRNA from 1 species